ACAACUCGGAUACUCCCAAGCGAUCGCUCUCCCGGGCUCUGUGCUGGUGGCAAAGGGGAGCACAGGGCUCAGCGCCUCAUGAUGUACAGUCCUUUUCCACUAUGUUGGAGAUCAAGCCGGGCCUUGAGUCUGCGCCUGCACAUUUCUACAGCUUCUCAGAGUCCCAUGGACAAUGACUGACCGAGGAGACAAAUCAUGCAGGGAACAUGU
ensembl:snoRNA SNORA73 Small nucleolar RNA SNORA73 family